GGCCAGCAAGCGCUCAGCUAAAACACUCUAAUGAUUCUCUUCCCAAGAUCUAUCGAGUCUACAUAGCGUGUGCACCGCUCGUGGCUCUUGGUGAUGUUCAAGCCUUGACCAGCGCCUGCAGAUACGGUGCAGUUCCUUACGAGCACAUGCUGGAAUGGAACAAUAAAGAGUUCAACGGUGGCUAAGCACCCAUAUUUUUCAGACGUGUGCUCACCAAUGAAACUUAAGCUAUUUUACUCUCACGGAACCACGAGGCCUCCUGGCUUCCAUUGUUUUUGUCUAGUUAAGAGCGAACUUCCGUGAGCAGCCAGUGGUAUCCAAGAGGGAAGCGACCUGGAUCGCUGUGGUUGCUGCAGCUACAUCUUAUUUUAUGUGGUCACCUUUUCUGCUGUAUUUAAAAA